rnacentral:rRNA from 1 species
CCUACGGGAGGCAGCAGUGAGGAAUAUUGGUCAAUGGACGAGAGUCUGAACCAGCCAAGUAGCGUGAAGGAUGACUGCCCUAUGGGUUGUAAACUUCUUUUAUAUGGGAAUAAAAUGUGCCACGUGUGGGAUUUUGUAUGUACCAUAUGAAUAAGGAUCGGCUAACUCCGUGCCAGCAGCCGCGGUAAUACGGAGGAUCCGAGCGUUAUCCGGAUUUAUUGGGUUUAAAGGGUGCGUAGGUGGAUUGUUAAGUCAGUUGUGAAAGUUUGCGGCUCAACCGUAAAAUUGCAGUUGAAACUGGCAGUCUUGAGUACAGUAGAGGUGGGCGGAAUUCGUGGUGUAGCGGUGAAAUGCUUAGAUAUCACGAAGAACUCCGAUUGCGAAGGCAGUUCACUGGACUGCAACUGACACUGAGGCUCGAAAGUGUGGGUAUCAAACAGGAUUAGAUACCCGUGUAGUC